rnacentral:rRNA from 1 species
CCUACGGGAGGCAGCAGUGAGGAAUAUUGGUCAAUGGGCUUACGCCUGAACCAGCCAAGUCGCGUGAGGGAAGACUGCCCUAUGGGUUGUAAACCUCUUUUGUCAGGGAGCAAUUGGCGCUACGUGUAGCGUUAUCGAGAGUACCUGAAGAAAAAGCAUCGGCUAACUCCGUGCCAGCAGCCGCGGUAAUACGGAGGAUGCGAGCGUUAUCCGGAUUUAUUGGGUUUAAAGGGUGCGUAGGCGGAAUGCAAAGUCAGCGGUAAAAUCGCGGGGCUCAACCUCGCUCCGCCGUUGAAGCUGGCGUUCUUGAGGGGGCGAGAAGUAUGAGGAAGGCGGGGUGGUGCGGUGAAAUGUAUAG